UCUUAACUAAUUUCUCCCAAAUAUACACUUGUACACAUAUAUAUUUGAAAGGGUAAAAAUAGUAUGUAAACAUGGAACAUGAUUUUUGGGGGGAGGGGUUCGUCUCCUGUUCACAUUUUUCUCAAACUGUAGCAUGACAAAUCCCAUCAUGUCUUUGGUUUUAUUCUUAUUCCGAUUCUUCUUUCCUUACGGUCUUCCAUCAUACUAAAGGGCAACCCAAAAUGUGAAGCAGAGAACACCCGAUCCCAGCAGCAUCAGUCCCACCGUAUGAGACAGAAAAUCAAUACAUCUUAAUUUAAUUUAUAUAAAAGAGGCUCUUCUAAGUCUCAACGAUGGACGUUUGGCGCACGAGGGCUCACGGUGGGAUCCUUAUUACAACUGUGGUCCGCAUCGACUCGAUGUACCACACCGCAAGUGAUUUGAAAUGAAACAAGCAAUGUCAUUGAAGAGGCUUGACACAAAUACAUUGUUUACAAUUGAGCCAAGGCAGCCAUUUUAAGCAGGGUACCACCAUUUUAAGACCUCCAAUUGUAUCUGUAUCUCUACUAGUGUACUGUAUAACCCAAAAGGUUUGAACUAUCUUCCAAAUGAUUGGGACAAAUUUUCAAAGGCAAAUCAAGAAUGCUUUGGAUCAAGUGAUACUGUUUCCAAGUCAAAGGCAUGUUGGUAUUAUCACUACAUGAUACCUUUGCUAGAACACGAUUGAUAAUUGAUAUUACAUGAUAUAUGAGCCAAAGAUUAGAAUGGUAGUUAUAUGGUAAAUUUUCAGUAGCCAAGCAGCAUCCCUAUUCGAGAGCUGAUAUGACUCAGUGACAUUUUUAGCAGUUAUGUAAAAUUUUAUAUCAGACUAUUUCUUGACACCUUUUUGGAGGGGAGGAGGGAUGUUUUGCACAAUUGUUGGUUGGCUACAGUAGUACAUUCCUUCAAAGAACUCGAUUGAUUUGCAACAGUGGCCAACUGAUACCAAAUAUCGGAUCCAAACUGGUCAGACUGGUUAAAUUCUUUUUCAACCAGCGACAUUCUACAGCGGCGUCUUAGAAGCCCAAUGUUCUUGACGCGCUCCAGUUCCCUGAAAUGACCAAUGCUGCGCCUCACACCAGGCAGAAUUUUUCCAGUCCAAGCUCAAUGAGCCAAACGGAAGGAGCUGCGGGGAUGGGGAUGUCUUUGCGAGGUUUUCAUCAACAACCUGGCGGCCUUGAAGCCUCGUAACUCAUCCGCAUUUAUCGCUGCUAUCUACUUUAGUAAGCAGGACACCGUGGUAAACUGUGAAGAGUGAAGAGAGCCAGGUUGUCCACAGAGGCAAGGUUACAAUCUCACCAAGGAACAGAGGCCGUUUUUUCCCCCCCUCAUUUAAAAAGUGUUGGUGCGUUGUAAGAGUAGCCAGCACUCACUGUGACCUCACUCACACUCAGUUUGAACUGCUUGUUGUUAGUUGUUUUCUCUUUUGACACUGUGGCUAGAUUUUUGUCGUCUGAAAUGUAAUGAAAAAAAAAAGACACGUGCUGUCCAUUCUAAACAGACAAUACUUAUUUAAAAACAAACAAACAAAAGAGGUUUUUUAAUUCAGAGCAAUGUAUAUAGGAUAGAUUUCGUAUACAUUUUUGGAAGAUAAAAUAUAUAUAUAGAUAUAGAGACAUAUAUAUGAAUGUUUGGCAUACAGUAUAUGACUAGUUAAGCACCUGAGGAAAAAGGUGAGCAGAUUUUAUUCUUUCUAUGACCUUUUCAACGAUGAAUUUUAGGGGAUGAUUUGCACAAAACAUACAAAGUGACAAGGUGCUAACAUAGAAGCUACCCAUCGUCCAAGCGCAUGCGUGCAUCUGGAUCCCCCCCAAUUCCCCACCGCCCAACCACCACACCCCCAGCUAGCUUUCUGUGUGUGUGAAAGAGGGAGAGAGUGUAAAUCUUUGCUUGCGAGUCUACAUCCAUCCUUAGAAUGAGUCCACUAGAGCCUUAAUGAUUUACCAACAGAGAUAUGCCGUAAUUAUUCAGAGAUAUUUGCUCAAAAAGACAAAUGAUGAGUGCACUAUAUGGACAAAAAUAUUACUAUAUACUCAUAAAUAAAAAUGGAUGGAGGGAUGGAUGGAGGGAUGGAUGGAAAACCCGAUUAAAGAAGCUAAUUACAGCUAGAUUCCAAACGUCAAACAAGCGUCCUUGCUGGCAACAGGAUUGUCUUGGAAACCAAAAAACCAACACUGUAGUUCAUCAUCAAAGGUCUUUGAAAACAAAAAAAAUCAUCCAACCAUUCAGUUAUGGAUCUAGAUUUGAAUACUGGGAUAUUAUAAAUAAAUCCCCAAAUAUUCCAAAACAUUACAAGGUGCGUCUCAAGACGUUUGUCCAAAUAGUGUGCCUGAUUAUAUUGAGAACAAACAUUGUCACAGUACGUUUGGCUUUGUGAAUGGAAUCCACCUUUUAGCUGAUUGAUUUCAUUGCUUCGUUCACCCUUCCCAUGUGCCCUUCAUGAUACCACCGCUUUGAGUUGAUCCGAUAUGGGACAAACACAAAAAGAAAUAUGUGCCAAAAAAAAGAAAGAAAAAACUUUUUUUUUUUAAAAAGAGUAACUUUAAAGUGUAUAUUUGUCUUUAGGACUUUCUUAGCUGCAGCAAUUUUGGAGCUGCUCAGACUCAAUAAUUAUGGUGCCAUCUCCUGAAAAUCUUGAGAAUUGCAUUUGAUAUUUGAUAGCUCACUCACUUCUUGACCACCACACAGAACAGGCGGUCAUGACUACUAGACUGUGUCCAUCACUUUCAAAAGUGCAGAGACAGGCUUUAUAAUGUCUACGUGUGUGUGUAUAUACAUAAGUACGGGCCUGUGUUUUAUCUACUUUUUGACUCUUGCUUUUUCCAUUUUGACCUUAUAGACUAAAGUAUUAUUUGCAGUAUAUGUACAUGGAAUUGUUUUGAGGAGACACACUUGACACAUCAUUUGGGGCUAAAACAAUCGAAGUGAGGAGGUUAUCGUUGUCUUCUUUUCUAAUCAACAAAGCACAAUCUACAUAGAGAAGGUGCGUUGUGACCUUUUUAAAAAGCCCGUCGGAGGUCUGGUCACCCACUGAUCUUAUCAUGGAAGAGUUUUCAUUUUCUUUUCACUGUCGUUUUUUUUU